rnacentral:rRNA from 1 species
CCUACGGGAGGCAGCAGUGGGGAAUAUUGCACAAUGGGGGAAACCCUGAUGCAGCGACGCCGCGUGAGUGAAGAAGUAUUUCGUUAUGUAAAGCUCUAUCAGCAGGGAAGAAAAUGACGGUACCUGAGUAAGAAGCCCCGGCUAACUACGUGCCAGCAGCCGCGGUAAUACGUAGGGGACAAGCGUUAUCCGGAUUUACUGGGUGUAAAGGGAGCGUAGACGGCAGUACAAGUCUGGAGUGAAAUCCCGGGGCUGAACCCCCGAACUGCUCUGGAAACUGUACGGCUGGAGUGCAGGAGGGGUAAGUGGAAUUCCUAGUGUAGCGGUGAAAGGCGUAGAUAUUAGGAGGAACACCAGUGGCGAAGGCGGCUUACUGGACUGUAACUGACGUUGAGGCUCGAAAGCGUGGGGAGCAAACAGGAUUAGAUACCCUUGUAGUC